UCGCACAGUGCCCGAAGGGUUGCUGCGACUAUUUCCUGUUGAUUUGACCUCGGGCAAGACACGGCACUUCAAUUUGCUCUUAGUGGAGCAGCUUUUUUCAAAUUGAAUCGUUCCGUCUCGGAGUUGACCAGCAGAGCUAAAUGCAGAGAUCUCAUGAAUUGAGCUCCAACUUCUGACUUUUACAGUUUGAGAGAGAGACACGUUAGCUCCAUUUUCACGCGUACAGGAAGGUGAACCCCCCGGCCGUGAGCAGAAAAUGCAACACCAGGACUCCCAGAAGCAAGCGCAGCCAGGUCUUGCUGCGGCCCACAGGCGAGGACUGAGGCUGGAUGAGCACCUGAGCCUGGCGCGGCGGCAGUGGAGGCGGGAGCGAUGCCACACUGCUGUGACUCCCAAAUGGUCAGGGCACCCCAGUUUGAGACCCACCGGCCGAAUUUACUGGAUUAAAAUAUUGGAGGACCAGCCAGGACAGGGUAAGUCUUUCAUUGUGUUGUGCAAACGUUGACGCACACUAGACAACAAAGCUGACAUCAAGAAAUAAUCUUCUAACACCAGUGGCUUUGGUUUGCAUUUAGCAUUCCUUCACAUGGAGUCUUUUAUUCACAAAACUUGAUGCAGAAUACAGACAAAACCCCCACACAAAGUAACUAUUUUUUUUUACGUGGGAAAUUUUUACUAUUACUUCUAAAAACACUCAUUUAGACACGAACCUGCUCUCUGAUAUACUGUAAAUACGGACAUUUGUCCGUUGAAUGCACCAUGAAUAAUAAUAAUAACUUGCUCACCACACACUUGCUUAAUGAGCGAAGUUUCCCAUUGUAUGUUUAUACGAAGCAAUCAAACUA